GAGAGAGAGAUUUAGGGUAGCUAUUGCCAAGAAUCUCCCAAGGCAUAUCCAUUAGGAUAAGGGUAGUAAGGGUUUAGUCUGGCAAGAUUCUGUCUAUUGUAUAUAAGCAAAUAAAGAACUGGACUUUGAAUUUGAAUCGGGGUAUUCUA